ensembl:snRNA U6 U6 spliceosomal RNA
GUGCUCGCUUCAGCAGCACAUAUACUAAAAUUGGAAUGAUACAGAGAUUAACAUGGCCCCUGCACAAGGAUGACAUGAAGGAAUUAAAAAUUAAAAAAAAGAAA